AUUAUUUUUUCGUUUGAAUCACUCGCGAUUUGCAAUUAUUUGAAAUUUGAACAAAAAUACAGACUACAGUCGUACAGAGUUCUGAUAGUUGUAUUCAUACAUUUUAUUACAAAAUCACCAUGCAUAAGUGUAUUCUUUUUAGUAAAACAUCUAAAGUAUCGCCUAGCCACAUUAUGUUAAUUUUAAUUUAUCUCCAAAAAAUGAAAAUAGAAGGAAAUAAUAAUGGCUAAACAUCUCCGAAUUAAAUGAUUUUCCCAAUUUCUAUCUGGCAUAGUAUCCGCGGUAAUCAUUUCACAAUAUUAGUGAAUGUAAACAAUGCUCUAAAAACACAAUCCAAAACCGUUUGCCUGGGAUAGAGAAGUAAAAUAAAUUUUAGUAAUUUACAGCGAAAUUGGUACUACUCUGAGCACGACUAGUAUAUCGAAUCUAAUUGAGUAAAAUCAUUUAACAUAAUUCAUGAAUUAGGUAUUUAUAUAUUUUUUACAACUUGACAUUUUCAGAAAAUUGUGUUUGUCCAACGAUGAGUUAGAAGAAAAUGAUCAGGCGCAUAAAGGAUUUCGAGGCUUUACAUGCUACUGAUUUUAAUUCACCCAGAAAAGUCUUAGAAACUAAAUAAUGUCCACACACACUUAUUUCAUACAGUGGAUUAUACUUAUUAUGGUUUUCAAAACUGAAAUAAUGAUGUACCACAUUCAAGGAACCAGGAAGUCGAGCCAAUGUAUUGGCAAUAUUUUUCAGACGUUGAAUUUCUCGAAGAUAAUUCUACAGACUCUGAUGAGGCCAUACAAUAUUGGACCGAAUUAUGAAACUUAAAGGUAAUACAAUUUUGCUGAGCAAGAAUCCAAUUUUAAUAACACAGACGGCCUCGACAUUAUAAAUAAUUAAAUUGCAAAGAAGCACAUAACUAGUUUGGACUUUGGUAUCUUUUCUGAAGAGGAAUUGAAUAUAGUUGGACGCAUUUAACAGAGUUUACACACAUAUUUUGCCCGUGUCUUAUUCUAAACAAUUGGAUCAAAAGCCACCUCCAGCUGUUAUCACACAUAUCAUUUGUGAAGUCGUAACUAAUGUACAAGAUUUUUUGACAAACGCGUCACCUGUCAGAAUGGUCGGCAUGAGCAUGAGCUGUGAAAAGAUAUGUAUUGAAGAUAUUGCUGAUAGGCUGUUAAAAGUAUCGGGGUGUCCUACAACUGUUUACUGGUCGUCAAACCCGCUCCCACACAAGGAACUUACUUCUCAACGAGGAACAACAAACUUCUUUGAAAGAAAACCAAGCGAACACCAAUUACAUUCAGUUGCACUCUGAAUCGUAUUUGUGAAUAAAAUUAUUUGUCAAUGACUUAUUCGUCAUUAUAAGAAUACUUUAUUUUAAAAAUGUAAUGUAUUUCAAUUCUAAAUAAAUUAUACUAUCAUACUUUUCAUA